CUUCGGCGUACUUAAAUCAUCAGUUCUAACGCCGGA
rnacentral:sRNA from 1 species